GGGAAGGUGGCUCAGUGGUAGAGUGCUUGCCUAGCAUGUAUGAAGCCCUGGGUUCAAUUCCCCUCAGUACCA
rnacentral:tRNA from 1 species